rnacentral:lncRNA from 1 species
AAUUGUGUCAUGUAUGCACAAACUUUUGCUUACUUCAAUAUGUAACUUCUUUAAUUGGUUUACCUUUUUAUUUUUUGGAUUAACUCUUAAUUACUUUAUCUUAAUUACCAAAUACACCUUUUUCUUUCCUAGGUAUAACACAUAAAUUUGUUUGUUAACUUGGCUUCAAUUUAAAUUUAUACCCUUUAAUUUUGGGCAUAAACAGUGCACUUGAACUUAUAUAAAGUUAAAUAAAUAGACACACACGUCCUAUAUGGUGUCUAACAUGAAGAUGCCACGUAGAACGCUAUUUAUUUAACUUUAUUCAAGUUCUUCAUGUUAUAUAUGUGCACAAUUGAUUUAACUUUAUACAAGAGCUUGUGAAAAUGUGGUUUAAAAACCUGCAACGAUAACGUUGUUUGGAAAUAUAAUUUUAAUAUUUUUUCUGGGACAAUUGUGUUAUUCAAGCCAAUUGUGCGCACGUAUAACAUGGGCGCAUUACUUUUUCUUCAUGUUUUGAAAAUUGACAUUUUAAUUCAUAUAGUUCAAAUAAUGUUGGGGGUUUUCUUUUUCCAUUGCUUUUUGGUCCUUUAUUUCAUCUACAACCUUAUCUUUUAUAGGUUCAGAGAUUAAUUUUUUAUUUUGUAGAUCUUUGUUGAGGUAAUCACAUGGAGGAGUGGAGAUAGAUGCUAAAAUCGAUUCAAUUUCAAAUUCUUGAUUUUCUCCUAACGGUAGCAUUUUUUAGGAGAAAAUCAAGAAUCUGAAAUUGAAGCAGUUUUAUCACCUAUCUCCACUCCUCCAAGUGGUUACCUCAACAAAGAUCUGCAAAAUGAAAAAUCAAUCUCUAAACCUGCAGAAACAGAGGAUCAAAAAGCAAAAGAAAAAAGAAAGUCCGUCCCCCAUCCCCCCCNNNNNNNNNNNNNNNNNNNNNGCCCCCCCCCCCCCCCCCCCCCCAGUAUUUGAAAUGUAUGAAUUGAAGCAUCAAUUUCAUUGAAGAAAAAGGAAAGCAUCCCACGUUAUACGUGUGCAUAAACUGGCUUGAAUUAACACAAUUGUCACAAAAAAAUAAAUCAAAAUGAUAUUUUCAAACAAUGUAAUUGAAGCAAGUUUUUAAACCAAUUUUUCACGAAUUUCACACCUCAACUAUCUAUUAUUUCUGUUAACAUUCGAAGAAGAAGAUGAAAAGCGUGAAAAAUAAUGAAAACCAGUAGAACUUUCUAGAGAGAGAAAGCGGAGCCUUUUUCAUUAUCUAAAAGAUAAAAUAUGGACCAUUCAAGCCCCAAAAAUAUCUCACUACCCACCUAUAUACAAAACAUAUGGACCAGGUCAUAAGAAGAAAGAAAUAAUUUAAUUAUCGGGCCAAGACCACUACAACCAAUAAACAAAGUGGCUUAGUGGCCCAAAAUAUAUAGUCUCUAACCCUUCCUCCCCCCCCCCCUCCUUUGCAAGUUGGAGAGGGAAACAACUCCUAACUUGUGCAGAUAAGCAUGAUGUUGAGCGCCAGGUAAGCACUUAGUAAACAUAUUUGCAAGCUGAGAAGAACUAGAAGUAUGGGCUAGGAACAUCAGUCUUUCAGGCAACUUAGUGCGUCAAAAAUGACAGUCGAGUUCUACUUGAGAAAGCAUACAUGAGCUGAACAAAACAUUAUCAUCUACAAGUUUACUAGCAAAGGUAGCAAAAUACAUCAGAGAUGAUGGAGAUGAAGUAGAUCCAGGUCCAAAUGAACAGAUAUGAGUUUGUUGUAAUAGGGACAACAACUGAGAAUGUUGCUCAGCAGUCAAUCUAGGGAGCCCAGGAUUAGAGAAAUCGGGAGCAGGUUCUUGAGGGCAAUAAAUUGCAACUUCAACAUGUGCAUCAGUUUUCUUACAUCCCAUGGACUUAGCGAACUUAUAACCAGGUGGAAAACCAUGUACUUUAUAGAAUUUAUCAAUGUUAUGACCUGGCUUCUUGCAAUACUUACAAAUCAGGAUGGUCUUAGUAUGAAGAAAGUCAAAGUUUGCCCUUGAUGGGAAAGAGGAGUUGUUUCUUACAACCCCAGCAUUUAAAGAGGUAGAUCCAGAAGAAAAAGACAAGAAUGAAGUAAGAGAGACUUGCCUUUGCUUCUCAUCAUUCAAGAGUCGGUCAUAUGCAGUACCAACAAACGGUAGAGGUUUCAUGAGGAGUAUAUGACUACUAACUUAGGCAUAGAUUUCAUUCAUCCCUAGCAAAAAACUGAUAAAGUUCAUUCUCAUCCUCUUGAUACAGGGCCUUAGCUCCACAAGUGCAAGACCUAACUCGUUUAGUGGAGAUGGAUGCUAUCUCAUCGUAUAGUUUCUUAAUGCGAUUAAAAUAAAAUGAAAUAUCUAGAGAACCCUGAGAAAUGUGUGUGAGUUCCUUCCUCGGCUCAAACACCCCUGCACCAUCAACUUUUCCAUACCUAUCGUCAAGUUUACUCCAUACCUCACUUGCAAGUUCAGAGUAUUCUACACUUCUAAUGAUUCUCUUAUUCAAGGAGCUAAGGAGACAGGAAAGGACUAGGUCAUUACAUCUUUGCCACUACCUAGCUAAGAGAGACUCAGAGGAAAGGUACACAGAACUAUCAUCGGCAAAUUCCAAUUUAUCACUCCAGGGAGAGUUACCAAAAUAGUGCGUCUCCAACUAGCAUAGCCAGUUCCACCAAAGGGGACAACCACAAGAGAACCUUCCAAAAACAUCAGAAGGAUGGACAUAAAAGGGAUGAUAAGGAUGAGUAAAAUCAUCCUUGUGAAACUCAAUUCUAGGUAAUGCAGUAAACUUAUUAGGGGAAGAUGAAUUAGGGACUCCUUCAAUUAUGUUACCAAAUAGAUGAUACAAUACCAAACGUGUAGUCAAAAUAACAAAAUCAAAGUAUCCAAGGACCAAAAUAGUAGCAAAUCCACGAUAAUGUUCCAAAAAAAAAAACGAUACACAAUAGGAAUAAGCGAAGAAGAAUACCAGACAAUUUCACAAUCAGAAAGAGAAACGGCCUUCGUAAUUUUCAAGUAAAAUAGAGGAAAAAUAUCGAGUUAUCGUUGAAAUCUUCCAUUCAGGCAGAAUAGAUCGAAGAUCCAACUUACACAUCAAGCAAACCCUAGAAAUCAAACUACACAAUCGAAAACAAUCAGUCGAAGUUGAUAUCGAACAAGAAGAGAAAUCCAGAUCUAUCGAUGUUCGGGCUCUGAUACCAUGUUAACAUUCGAAGAAGAAGAUGAAAAGUGUGAAAAACAUUGGAAAUCAGUAGAACUUUCUAGAGAGAGAAAGAGGAGAGAAGGCGGCGCAUUUCUCAUUAUCUGGAAGUGAAAAAAUGGACCAUUCAAGUCUCAAAAAUAUGUCACUACCCACUUAUAUACAAACACAUGGACCUGAUCAUAACAGAAAAGAAACAAUUUAAUUAUCGGGCCAAGCCUAUUACAGCCAAUAAACAAAGUGGCCAAAUGGCUUAAAACAUCUAGUCUCCAACAGAUUCAUCUCAACUAAGUUCAAAGUUUCAUCAAUAUGUUUGCUUAACUUCAAUAUUUAUAACCAAUUUACCUUCUUCUUUUUUUAAUUUCGUUACAACUCUUAAUUAGUUUACCUAAACUACGAGUCAUACUAUUUUCUUAUAAAACAAAAACAUAAAGGGUGAAUUAAUCAGAAACUAUCUUCUACCUAAACUACAAAUCACUCUUUUCCCUUAAAUGUGUACAUCUAAAGUUAAAGAGUAUAGCUACGAGUCUGCUAGUUGAGAACAAGUUAAAGAGCACGUUUACAUAUUAUGUCUUUUCUUAAAAAACCAAUAGGGAUAAAAUAGUCAAAGACAACCUUUUAAGUCAUUCGUCACGUAGAAUGCCACAUAGGACAAGAUUUUCUUAUUAUAAUUUACAAUGAAAACUUUGAAAAAGAUUUUUAUUAUUCUCAAACGUUCAUUACAUAAAUAAGUUAACCACUGAAAAUAAUUUUUUACUUGAAAAUAAUCUAAAAACUGACAUUCUCUUCAUCUGGACCUCUUAGUUAUGUUGUUGGGAUAUACUAAUUACAAUAAUAAAAUAUCAGUAUAUUUACACCAAGUGAGGUCUGGGGAGGUUAAGUGUACAAGACCAUACCACUACCUCAAAUGUGAGAUAGAGAGACUUUGGGAUAUACUAAUUAAAUAUUAAAAUAACCAUAUAAUUUCCAUAAAUAAAUUCUAUGCAAUUUGAAUCUGAGUUAGUCGUAUCUCAAUACAAAUAUCAAAUAUUAAUCGAGAAACAAGAAAAUACUUUUAGUUUUUCCAAAGUCCAAUUUUGCAAAUGCAAAUUGUUGCUUAUCAGCAAUGACUACAAUCUCCAAAUUAAUUCUAUAUGCCAACUUUGAGCAAGUGGAAUAAUUAUAUGACAUUUGAAAAUGUCAAAUCAACUCAAUUGAAUAAAUCUAUGUCGUACCAACGAAUAACUUCUCUCUAAUAGGUUAUUUCGGAUAUGUAACAACUAACAACCAUCCAAAUCGCUGGUGAGAGAUAACAGGUAUUUUGUAAAAUUAAUCAAAGUGUGUACAAACCACAAACUGACUUAAAUAACACAAUUGUCACAAAAAAAAAUAUAUAUUACCAAUGCAAAUUUUUAACACACUUGUAAAAAAAAAAAAAAAAAAUAUUUCCAAGUAAUGUUACAGAUGCAAAUUUUUAAACCUAAUUUUCAUGAACUUUACACCUCAUCUAUCCAUUUUCCCACUUAACCAAGUUUAAGGUUUCAUCAAUAUGUUUGCUUAACUUCAAUAUUUGUUUAUUUCUUUUGAUUUCUCAUCCGGUGUUCGGUGCCCUUAUUGGAGCCUCGACUAAUUCGAAUCGCGCGUUGCAGAGCCUAUUAAUUGAUCUACUUUUUUUUUUAUUUGAUUACAACUCUUAAGUAGUUUACCUAAACUACCAAUCACACUUUUUCCUUUAAAAAAAAAAACAAAAAGGGUAAAUUAGUCAAAAACAAACUUUUCCUUACUUCAAUAUGUAACUUCUCUACUUAGUUUACCUUUUUAUUUUUUGGGUUAACUCUUAAUUAUUUUACCUUAACUACCAAAGACACCAUUUUCUUUCCUAGGCAAAAUACAUAAACUUGCCCCUUAACUUGGUCUCAACUUAUAUUUAUAGCCUUUAACUUUGAACAUGCACUUGAACUUAUAUAAAAUUAAUCAAAUAGACACACGUGUCCUACAUAAUAUCUCACAUGAAGAUGCCACGUAGAACGUUACUUAUUUAAUUUUAUACAAGUUCUUCAUGUUAUAUGCGUGCACAAUUGGUUUAACUUUAUACAAGUGCUUGUGAAAAUGUGGUUUAAAAACCUACAACGAUAACGUUGUUUGAAAAUAUAAUUUUUGAUAUUUUUUCUGGGACAACUGUGUUAUUCAAGCCAGUUGUGAGCACAUAUAACAUGGGGUGCUUUUCUUUUUCUUCAUGUUUUGAAAAUUGACGCUUCAAUUCAUACAGUUCAAAUGCUGGGGGUUUUCUUUUCCCAUUGCAUGUUGGUCCUCUAUUUCAUCUACAACCUUAUCUUUUGUAGGUUCAAAGAUUAAUUUUUUAUUUUGUAGAUCUGUGUUGAGGCAAUCACAUGGAAGAGUGGAGAUAUGUGCUAAAAUUGAUUCAAUUUCAGAUUCUUGAUUUUCUCCUAACGGUAGCAUUUUUAGGAGAAAAUCAAGAAUCUGAAAUUGAAGCAGUUUUAUCACCUAUCUCCACUCCUCCACGUGAUUACCUCAACAAAGAUCUGCAAAAUGAAAAAUCAAUUUUCUGAACCUGCAAAAAUAAGGUUGUAGAUGAAACAGAGGAUCAAAAAGCAAAAGAAAAAAGAAAGUCCAUCCCCAAAACCCCCCCCCCAUAUUUGAAAUGUAUGAAUUGAAGCAUCAAUUUCAAUGAAGAAAAAGGAAAGCAUCCCACGUUAUACGUGCUCAUAAACUGGCUUGAAUUAACACAAUUGUCACAGAAAAAAAUCAAAAUGAUAUUUUCAAACAAUGUAAUUGAAGCAAGUUUUAAAACCAAUUUUCCACGAACUUCACACCUCAACUAUCUAUUAUUUCUGUUAGCAUUCGAAGAAGAAGAUGAAAAGCGUAAAAAACAAUGGAAACCAGUCAAACUUUCUAGAGAGAGAGAGAAGAGAGAAAGCGGAGCAUUUUUCAUUAUCUGAAAGAUAAAAAAUGGACCAUUCAAGCCGCAAAAAUAUCUCACUACCUAUCUAUAUACAAAACAUAUGGACCGGGUCAUAAGAAGAAAGAAAUAAUUUAAUCGAGCCGAGCCCACUAAAACCAAUAAACAAAGUGGCUUAAUGGCCCAAAACAUCU